ACGUGUCCACCCGAUGCAGCAGCAGAUGGGCCACAUUUACGGCCAGGUCAACACAAUGGCUGGAGAUAUGACGCGCCUGCGUGAGCAAGUUUCGGCGUAUGAUGCUCGCCUUGACUCUUACAACCACCAUCUCGCCAACAAUGACAACAGUAUUCAGUCCCUCCAAGCACAGUGGGCCGCUUUCUCCUUGCAGCAUCGUGACCAAUUCGCCCCACCCCCGCCCCCACCUCCGGGACCACAGUGAGCUAUCCCUCUUCAUUUCUCUUUUUCUUUUUGUUUUGUUCUGUUUUUCCUUUUUAUUUGUGUCUGCCUUGUUUUCCUUUCGUUUUCUCGUGUUUGCUGUUAUUGCCCUGAGGACAGUGCUCGUUUUUGUGUGGGGAGGGGUGUGUGCUUGUUUUGAAAUGUAUGCUGUUGGGUUCUGGAUUGUUGGUUUUGGGCAAAUGGCCUCCUUGCGCUGAUUAAUUACUUGUCUUUGAGUUCACCCUUGGUCUUGACAUUGGUUUGCCAGUGAUUCUGGAACUGCAUUGGUUUUGGUUGUUGUCCUUGUUUGUCGCGAUUGACAUUUACCUAAGUAGUGUUAUGGGUUUAAUAUCUUAGAUGCAACAACUUGAUGAGCAACUCUUGACGUGAUUUGUCCGGUAGAUGCUAGGGGGAGUGUUUUCAUUGUAAUUGCCUAAUUUCUUAUCUCUUGUUGAAACGUGGUUUGUUUAUUGAGUUCUUGAUGGCUCUGGGUCUCUGCUCCUCUGAUGGUGACAUUAUGAGCAUGGGAAACCACGCGGGAACAUUUUGGUUUACCUCCAAAAAUUGCAAAUCUCGUGAAAUACGACCUAUUUGUCAAAAAAAAAAAAUAAAAGAGAUUUGAUUGUAAAGGCGGUUACAUUAGGAAAUUCACCCCUAGCGGAGAACUGGGUUUGAUCGGAUUGAGUUGUAUCAUUUUGUUGUUGCCUC
rnacentral:lncRNA from 1 species